GAAAUGUGCCAGGGCGCCCGAUCGUUUAUUAUUAAACACCGGUGAUUUUCGAGGAAAUCUUGUUGCUUCCACAGAGUCAGGAACCGACGAACGGGAACAUGGAUCUGGUUGAUCUUCGCUGCCGUCGCAUCCAUCAUACUCGGUUUCCUGCUCCUCUUUUUUCUCGCGAACGAGAACGCUGCAAAUGUGGUUGUCAGAUUCGAAGAACACAAAGGCACGAAGAGCAAAGCAGCGAAGACGACAAAGGAUCAGACUAUGCCAGGGUUGACUCCCAACAGCUCCGAAGAGAUGACAGUCACUUCUACAACGGUGACAUGUAUGACCGUAUAUGCAUCAUAAUCAUCGUGUGACAUCUGACGCUGUGGUGCGGGAAAAAAAUAAGAAACGUUGAAGUAGAAGGAGAAAACAGUUUUCUUAUCGUUGUCUCUUCCUUCGGCUUUCCUUCCGCAGCACUGUCUCAGGUGUUACAUUAUGACUAAUUAUGUAUCAACAGCUUGCCUGCACACAUGGGCGACAAAAAGGGGCGCCAUGCGGCGGUUUUCAUAGCAACUUCCGCGGACGCUGUGACGUGGCGGCUUGGCAUAUGCCCACGUCAGAAGGUUCUGGUCCAUGUCACAGCGUCCUGGGCUGUUGCUAUGGGAAUCACCGCGCGGCGCCCCUUUUUCGUCACUCACAUGUUCCCUGCUUUACUCGUUUUUCGUUUACCAAAUACAUCCCUACGAGAAUGCAUUCUAUUCCGCUCAUUUGCAUCAUAGUGCGUGACCACAGCGCAAAAUCUUCCCCUAGCGAUGGACAGGCCGCGUCCGAGAUAUAAGAUUCCGUGUUUUCGGAGUUUAUUUUUUGUCAAAUUCAAAAAGUAUUUUUCAAUUUUUUUUUUGCCGAAAAUGUGGAGUUUGUUGGAGUUUAUUUUUGCUUGAUUUUUAAUUCUUCGAAAUACAAAGUUUAAUUUUGCGGUGUUUUCUAUUAAGAUAAAUAAACAAAGAAAUAAUAUCCGGGUGCAAAUAUAUAUCUGAAAAAUAGAACGCACUUGUAUCAAUCUUUUUUCAGCUGAAUUUGGCGUUGGUGCCGUUGCCAUUGAUAAUACU